rnacentral:lncRNA from 1 species
UUCACAUUGGUUGGCAGUGGCUCCGUAUAUUUUAUGUAUAAACACAGAUGGAGGUAAUGGCAAAAAUCUAAACUUGGGGCAUUUUGUGAUAGUGAGGUUUGGGCCAAAGGACCCUCUUGUUGGUCCUGUCUUUCUUCCCUUUUACUUGGAUUCUGUGAAUUGGUCUUUCUGAAUUAUCUCAUUCAGCAUGGUUCUUUUGGCAGCAGAUCAAACCUUCUCAUCCCGUACCUCUGCCCUGGAAUUUCCCAACUGGCCAAUCAAGACUUCCUGUUCAGCCACCCUCCACAGUCCCCACAGAUUCCCAUCUUUUUCAAAGCUAAUUAAGAAGUGACAUUUUUUGAGUACUUUCUAUGUGCCAAGGCAUUAUGCCAAGAGCCUAACAUUAAUUACCUAAUGUGAUCCUUUCCACGGUCCCUAAGAGGUAGAUAUUAUUGGCCCCAUUCACAGAUGAGAAAAACUGAGGCUCAGAAACAUGAGUCAACUUGGAAAGAGUUUCACACACUUGACCAGUGGUAGAGCCUGUACCGGAAGCCAGGCAUCCUGGCUCUGGAGCUCAUGUUGUCACCCUGUUACCCACUUGCCUCAUUUCUGAGAGCAGCCUAUUCCUAGGAGCCGCUUCUGCCCUGCCUAACUCAACUGCUUUGUCUUCCAUGGCGUCUCUCUCUCUCUCUUUUCUUUUUUUUUGGCUCUCUCAGCUAGAAGUUUAUUCCUCUCUUUCCUCAUAGUCCUGAGGACUUUAUCUGAGCCUCUCUUAUAACUCCUGCCACAUUCUUUUAUUUCCUGUAGUUAUUUGCGUAUAUUUCUCAAAAUAGAGCUUUGUCUAAUAGACUUCUUUCUCCUCUUAGAAAAGCACAAUGCCUUGAAUGUAAAAAGAACUCAAUGCAUUUUUGUUGAAUGAAGGGAAUUUGCUUGUCUCCCUUGGGGGCAAGCCUUCAACUUCUCUGUAUGUGUCUUGCUCAGUAUGGUAUAGAGAGAAAGUCGUGGUCAACAAACCCUGCCGACCGGCCGAACUGAGAGCUGAGAUGCCUCCUGAGGACAGUUUUCUGAGUUUUAAAAGGCCUUGUUUUUUUGGGGUGUUAAGUUUCUGAAUACAGAAGCUAAGAAUUUUUCCUUUCAUAAGGUAGGAAACGCCUCAUGGAAGGAAAACAAAAUCCUGCCAAAACCCUAAGGAAAUUCUCAGAAAAGGUCCCAUCAGAACUCCCAGGAGUCUGUCUAAACCCAAAUGCCCCAGGUUGAAACUCUAGCUACCCAAAGAUGUCUUUCUGUGGGAUCUCACUGAGCCAAAUUCGGUGUGUGUGUGUGUGUGUGUGUGUGUUUUUAAAUAAGGAAAACUCUUUUAUCUCUGAUGAAGAAACAGUAAAUGAAAAUCUUAACAGGCACCCUCAAGAGUGGCUAAUUUCAAUAGCAGUGGAUUCCAUGGGGAUGGGGCAGAGGCAAACUGGGAACGGGGUUGCUGGCACUGAUUCUCAAUGAGAUGGAGACAUAGGUGCCACUUCACGGCAAGUCUGCCCUUCUUUCAGGGCUCUUGGCGGUUUUGCCUUUCCUCACCUAGCCUACGAUCCAUUGUCCCUUUGCUUGCCCCUGUUUUCAGAAGACCCCACACCAAGGUACCUGACUCUCUUUCCUCCCACUCAGGACCUUUCUGACCCUCUUCUUUCCCUGCUGAAAUGUGGACAUCCUGUCUUGGCUUCCUCCGGCCCUGCUCUUGGAACCCAGCUAAUCUGCUAAUGUGAUAAUGGGAAUGUGUGUGUUUCUCCCUACCCCAGAUAACAUAUUUGUAUUUUAUUUUCACUCAGACACAGAGGAGCAGGGAGGUGGUAGGAGCAGGGCCAAAGCUAUUAGAUAGCAUCAAAGUUACUGUCGUUCAGUCUUUUUGUUAUUGUUUUUGUUUUACAAAAAGCAAAGAACAAGCCAACCAACAAACAAAACAGAAGCUGUUUUGCAAAUUCAGGUCCAGCUUAUGGUUCACUGUGGCUCUGAAGUUUUCUUUUUUUUCCUUUCUGGUUGAACUCCUACACAACCAGGCUUCCUCCAGCUGGUAUGUUGUACAUCAUUUUUAUCAAUGAUCUGCAUAAACAAGAAAAUCCUGUCCCAUUCCCCACCUCCAACAGCACAGAUAAGAUGCCCAUUUCUUUCCAUCUCCUUCUUUGCAAUAAGACCCUUCCUCACUGACAGCAUUGUGACGAAGGAGACAUAACAAGGACCAUAUCCCCUGAAUCUUUGCCCCAGCGCCCCCACCCGUAUCCUGUGUAGGAUUCUAGGUUGGUCUGCGCGAGGGGUAAGAGUGGCAGUGCAAACUGUGGGCAAUCAGAGCUUCAGCCCUUGUUCUUUACCUUCCUUUUGACUUGACAGCUGGGAUGUGAGUCUGGAAGGUUCCUUUUGCUCAUUUUCCAAGAGCCACUCAUGCCCUGUCCUCUUCCUCCUUCCUGUCUUUGUCUUCUAAGAUACAAGAUGUUCCUGACUAAGAAGAUUAUCUUGUUUCCUCAGUUACUAGGAAGCAAAGAGAGGAAGAGCCCUCCCGUGGAAGAAAACUAUCUCUGCCCACCAAAAGUUGCACUCCUCCUCCAGCAGCCCCAGUGUUGACCAUUGUGUACUUGAUCUGUAUGAAAAUCCCUUUUCUGGCUCAAUAGGGAACCUUGAUCUUCCCCUACAGGCUGACAGAAACAAGGCAAGCAUCUAAGCUUCAUUCCUAGGCCUGUGGCAGACAUCACUCAUCAAUGGUGAUUUUUUGCUGAAUCUUGGGGCAGGUCUGCACCCCAGCAGGCAUGAUCAAUCUAUUGGAGCCUGCAAUGGAGAGAAAAAACAUCUGCCAUCCCUUCCUCAGUGAUGCUUCUGUCAUCCAUGCAGGAGGCUGGGGGUAGGGACAUUUCUUCAGCAACCUGCAGCUAAGAAGACAUGGAAGCUGGAGAGUGCAGAAAAAGUUGUUUUCUUAGCUUUCAUGUAGAUUAACUUUAAGGCCAAAAGCUUCACCUGCUUCACCUGCUCUGGGCAUGAAUGUGGCAUCUCCAUUCAGUUGCUCUGCUUAAUAGGAAAUAAAAAGUGCAAGGAACACACUACCCUUAAGGUACCAAUAGACAUGCUCCCCGGGGAGGACUAAGCAAUGCAUGAUGGUGACUCAGGAGGCUAGAGGGUCUCAUGGAGGAGGACGAGUGCCAGGGGCUGGGGACAGGUGGCUGAGCUGGAGUUAUCCAGUUCCCUGGCAGUCUGGGUGCACAGGGUGAUCCUGCAGAACAGCAAAUAUUCUGCUUGUCUGCUGCUGGUAUUUAGACGCUGCUGGAAUGUCCUGGCAGGACUAUCUGUCCAAAUCCAUUCAAAAUUGAUUUUUGUGUCUUUGAUGGGGAAUUUUGGCCAGGAUCCCCACGGUCCCCCAAUUCAGUUAGACAUUCUCCUCUCCCUUCUUUAGCUUAUUAGCUGCUUCUCGGUGGGAGUCUGGGCCUUCAUGUUCCCUCUUCAGCCAGUUCAAGUGAUCUGAAGCUCUAGGAAGGAUGGAAGUGGGUCUGUGCUGUGAAUCUGAAAUGCCUAGAUGCAUUUAUUUAAAGCAGCAGCCUCUUAGCAGGGUUGACACAGCCCAAUGCUGAAAAGUUGGGUUUUUGGCCAGGGUCUCCCCACUUUUGCUAGAGAGCCAGGAAAUGGGUAGGAAUGUCUGGACCAGAGCAGAGGAAAAGAAGAAGUGAGUCAGAAAAGAAAAGCAGAGCCUGUACAGGCCACAUCCUUGAAGGAUUUACUGCAAGCCUAGCUACUCCGCUGGGAGUGCCUUCCUUAAUGUCUGCUGCCUCCAAGGCUGCCCACACAGUCAGCCACGAUGGGGCACCGAUGCUCACCAGGGGCUACCAGGCGCUGAGAGGUGGGGGAAGAAGACCAAAUCCUAGAUCCCAGAAACUUACAAUCGGGCAGAAGAGAUAAGUACAAAUCUAACUAAAAUUAAAAAGUGGGCAAGAAAGUGCACAGCUACAACAUGCUAAGAGGAGUUCUGAUGCAGUGGCUCUUAGAACUAGGUUUUGAGCAGUUUGUAUAUGUGUGUAUGUGUGUGUGUAUGUGUUAUGCCUCUGUGUGUACAUGUGCAUGUCUCUCUGUAUGUUUGUGUCUGUGUGUAUGUCUCUGUGUGUGUGUGUAUGUCUCCGUGUAUGUAUGUGUUUUUGUGUAUCUGUGUGUAUGCCUGUGUAUGUCUGUGUGUGUAUAUGUCUCUUUGUGUGUCUAUGUGUAUGUGUUUAUAUUUCUGUGUGUGUCUGUGUGUAUGUGGAUGUCUCUUUGUGUGUCUGUGUGUAUGUAUAUGUCUCUGCGUGUGUGUGUGUGUGUGUGUCUGUGUGUAUAUGGAUGUCUCUCUGUGUGUGUUUGUGUGUAUGUAUAUGUCUCUGCGUGUGUCUCUGUGUAUAUAUGUCUCUGUGUGUGUCUGUGUAUGUGUCUGUGUGCAGGUAUAUGUCUCUGUGUGUGUUUGUAUAUGUGUAUGUCUCUGUAUGUGUGUAUAUGCGUGUAUAUGUCUUUCUGUGUGUGACUGUGUGUGUAUUGAUGAAGAGCUCUUUGUCCUCUAGGUCAGUGGCUCUCAUUCUCAAUCUUGGCUUCUUGGCUGUAUCUUGGAAUUAGUUAAUGAGCUUUAAGAAAUACUGAUGCCAGCUGCUACCUCCAGAGCUUCUGAUGUGAUUGAGUCCGAGUAUAGGGAGGGAAUUCCAUAGGGACAGAUAAGGUCAGGCUGUGGUGAGUGGCUGGGCUCUGGUGCUUGUCUGCUUUAAUUGAAGAGUUGGAAAAAUGGCAGAUGUUGUAUGGUAGAGGGCAGUUCCUGUUAGUCACAUGGGAGAUAUAAUACCAUCCUUUACUGUCUCUGGGGGUAACAGGGGAGGAAGGUGGUCUCUGGGUUGUGUUUGCAUGAAAAAUGGUCCCACAGGAGGCACAGUUUCACAGUCCAAAGAAAUACCUUCUACUUCUUUAAUACCAACAUACACUUCUGAGAAGACCUUGCUCAAUCCCUCCUUCCUUCUCUCAUUUCAUUCUUCCCUCUCUCCUUUCCUCCCUUCCUCUUUUACCUUUAUCCACAGAUAUUUAUUUAGCUCAUGCCAUGUCCCAGGCACAGUUCUGGGGCCAAGCGGGGAACAAGGCAGAUUAGUUCUUGAUUUCAAGGAGUUGACAUCUUAGGUGCUUACCAUAUAACAAACAUGAGUACUGGUGGAAAUGUGCAUGUCUUCUGUAGAUGGGACUUUUCCUGAAGAGUCAGUAGUUGGUGUCUUAGCACUACAUUUUAUGGUAAAACAUGGCUCCAAUAUUUUAAGAUAAUGCAUUUGCAUUAAGAUGUUGUGUGCUGUCGAUCAUAAUGGACUAAUAAUGACUCAGAGUUCACAUGUGCUACAUUAUUAACUAUUGAAUAGAUAGAUGAGUUUUAAUAAUAUAUGGGUAAGGUAUAAAGGGUAAAAAUAAACUAAACAGCAAUGUACCUGCUACCCAGCUUAAGAAAUGAAAUAUUGCAUUUGCCUUUGAAGCCCGUCCUGAGUUGGCCACCAUCUUGAAUUUUGUGUAUAAUGUUCCCUAGGUAAUAUGUAGUUUAGUCAUACCUGAUUUUAAACUUUGACUUCAUGCAAAUGUUGUAUACAGAUGUUCUAUUUAG